UACAGAGGUCUCAAGCGUUGUUCGAUUCAUUUGGGCGUAAAGGGUGCGUAGGCGGCGCGGUAAGUCGGGUGUGAAAUCUCGGAGCUUAACUCCGAAACUGCAAUUCGAUACUGCCGUGCUUGAGGACUGGAGAGGAGACUGGAAUUUACGGUGUAGCUGGUGAAAUGCGUAGAUAAUCGUAAGGAAGACCAGUGGCGAAGGACGGGUCUCUGGACAGGUUCCUGACGCUGAGGCACGAAGGCCAGGGGAGCAAACGGGAUUAGACGGUACCCUAGUAAGUCCGAUGACAAGUCCUCUGCUACCGUAAC
rnacentral:rRNA from 1 species